UAGGGAAUAUUGCACAAUGGGCGAAAGCCUGAUGCAGCAACGCCGCGUGCGCGAUGAAGGCCUUCGGGUUGUAAAGCGCUUUUCGGGGAGAUGAGGAAGGACAGUAUCCCCGGAAUAAGGCUCGGCUAACUACGUGCCAGCAGCCGCGGUAAAACGUAGGAGCCAAGCGUUAUCCGAAUUCACUGGGCGUAAAGCGUGUGCAGGCGGUCUGAUAAGUUGGAUGUGAAAUCUCCCGGCUCAACUGGGAGAGGCCGUUCAAUACUGUUAGACUAGAGGGCAACAGAGGAAGGUGGAAUUCCCGGUGUAGUGGUGAAAUGCGUAGAUAUCGGGAGGAACACCAGUGGCGAAGGCGACCUUCUGGGUUGCACCUGACGCUCAGACACGAAAGCUAGGGGAGCGAACGG
rnacentral:rRNA from 1 species